rnacentral:rRNA from 1 species
CCUGGUUGAUCCUGCCAGUAGUCAUAUGCUUGUCUCAAAGAUUAAGCCAUGCAUGUCUAAGUACACAUUUUUACACAAUGAAACUGCGAACGGCUCAUUAAAUCAGCUAUGGUUCCUUAGAUCAUAGUUAUCCUACUUGGAUAACUGUAGUAAUUCUAGAGCUAAUACAUGCAACUAAGCCUGUCCUUUGCGGGACGGGCGCACUUAUUAGAUCAAAACCAACCGGACUUCGGUCUGACGGUUUGAUGACUCUGGAUAAUUUACCUGAUCGCACGGCCUUUGUGUCGGCGAUGUAUCUUUCAAAUGUCUGCCCUAUCUACUUUUGAUGGUAGGUAAUUUGCCUACCAUGGUUAUAACGGGUAACGGGGAAUCAGGGUUCGAUUCCGGAGAGGGAGCCUGAGAAAUAGCUACCACAUCCAAGGAAGGCAGCAGGCGCGCAAAUUACCCACUCCCGAAACGGGGAGGUAGUGACGAUAAAUAACGAUGCGGGACUCAAUCGAGGCCCCGUAAUUGGAAUGAGUACACUUUAAAUCCUUUAACGAGGAUCAAUUGGAGGGCAAGUCUGGUGCCAGCAGCCGCGGUAAUUCCAGCUCCAAUAGCGUAUAUUAAAGUUGUUGCAGUUAAAAAGCUCGUAGUUGGAUCUCAGGAUUUGGAUGGAUGGUUCGCUUUCGGGCGCUACUAUCUGUCUGACCUACUCUAGUCGUGGAUGCCUUGGGUGCUCUUAAUUGAGUGCUUUUGGUGCCCGACGCAAUUACUUUGAAAAAAUUAGAGUGCUCAAAGCAGGCGUAUUGCCUGAAUAGUGUUGCAUGGAAUAAUGAAAUAGGAGUUUACUUCUAUUUUGUUGGUUUUCGGAGGUGAACUAAUGAUUAACAGGGACAGACGGGGGCAUUUGUAUGGAGGGGUUAGAGGUGAAAUUCUUGGAUCCUCUCCAGACAAACUACUGCGAAAGCAUUUGCCAGGAAUGUUUUCACUAAUCAAGAACGAAAGUCAGAGGUUCGAAGACGAUCAGAUACCGUCCUAGUUCUGACCAUAAAUGAUGCCAUCUAACAAUCCACGAAGUUUGCUUGUACGAACUCGUGGGCGGUCCCCGGGAAACCAAAGAUUUUGGGUUCCGGGGGAAGUAUGGUUGCAAAGCUGAAACUUAAAGGAAUUGACGGAAGGGCACCACCAGGAGUGGAGCCUGCGGCUUAAUUUGACCCAACACGGGAAACCUCACCCGGCCCGGACACUUUUAGGAUUGACAGAUUGAAGGCUCUUUCUUGAUCAAGUGGUUGGUGGUGCAUGGCCGUUCUUAGUUGGUGGAGCGAUUUGUCUGGUUAAUUCCGAUAACGAACGAGACUCUACUCUGCUAAAUAGAACGUUGAUAU